rnacentral:rRNA from 1 species
GUACACGCUGUGACUAGCAUAUCAAUAAGCGGAGGAAAAGAAACUAACAAGGAUUCCCUUAGUAACGGCGAGUGAAGCGGGAAGAGCUCAAAUUUGAAAUCUUAAAGGGUUUCCCUUUACGAAUUGUAGUUUAAAGAAGUGUCUUCUGUUGAGGUUUUGGUAAAAGUUCUUUGGAAUAGGACAUCAUAGAGGGUGAGAAUCCCGUAUUUGACCUUUACUUUCAACUUUGUGAUACACUUUCAAGGAGUCGGAUUGUUUGGGAAUGCAGUCCAAAAUGGGUGGUAAAUUUCAUCUAAAGCUAAAUAUUGGCGAGAGACCGAUAGCGAACAAGUACCGUGAGGGAAAGAUGAAAAGAACUUUGAAAAGAGAGUUAAACAGUACGUGAAAUUGUCAAAAGGGAAGCGUUUGACACCAGUGUUGUUUUUCUGAAAAUCAAUUAAAGAACUGUUUAUGCUAAGUUGUUUAGACUUUAUCAGCUAACUGUUUAGUUUUGAGCUUUUCUUUAAUGCACUUUUCAGUUAACAAGUCAACAUCAAUUUCUUUUGCUGUAAAAAAGCUUGAGGAAGGUGGCUUGAGAUUCGUCUUAAGUGUUUAUAGCCUCUUGCCUAUGCAGUCGGAGAGAUUGAGGUCUGCAGCGUAGAUCCUUCGGGGCUAAAUGCAUUUGUGCUAAGUUAUAGCAUUUUAUAGACAACUUGUUGACUAUGAUUUGUCUUGUAGCUUACUCGCUUAUGUUAUUUUACCUACGCUUAGGAUGUUGAAGAUGUAGCACAUCAU